rnacentral:rRNA from 1 species
AACGAACGCUGGCGGCAUGCCUAACACAUGCAAGUCGAACGAGACCUUCGGGUCUAGUGGCGCACGGGUGCGUAACGCGUGGGAACCUGCCCUUAGGUUCGGAAUAACUCCCCGAAAGGGGUGCUAAUACCGGAUAAUGUCUUCGGACCAAAGAUUUAUCGCCUUUGGAUGGGCCCGCGUUGGAUUAGCUAGUUGGUAGGGUAAAAGCCUACCAAGGCGACGAUCCAUAGCUGGUCUGAGAGGAUGAUCAGCCACACUGGGACUGAGACACGGCCCAGACGCCUAGGGGAGGAGGCGGGGGGGAAUAUGGGAAAGGGGGCAAAAGCCUGAUCCAGCAAUGCCGGGGGAGUGAUGAAGGCCUUAGGGUUGUAAAGCUCUUUUACCCGGGAUGAAAAUGACAGUACCGGGAGAAAAAGCCCCGGCAAACUCCGG